UACAGAGGGUGCGAGCGUUAAUCGGAAUUACUGGGCGUAAAGCGCACGUAGGCGGCUUUGCAAGUCCCAUGUGAAAUCCCACGGCUUAACCGGGGAACUGCAUCUGAUACUGGAUGGCUUGAGUUCGGGAGAGGGAUGCGGAAUUCCAGGUGUAGCGGUGAAAUGCGUAGAUAUCUGGAGGAACACCGGUGGCGAAGGCGGCAUCCUGGACCGACACUGACGCUGAGGAGCGAAAGCCAGGGGAGCAAACGGG
rnacentral:rRNA from 1 species